AGAGUUUGAUCCUGGCUCAGGAUGAACGCUGGCGGCGUGCCUAACACAUGCAAGUCGAACGGUACCAGGCUUUCACUGUCCGUUCCUCGCAACUAGUUUCUAGUUGAUCCCGAGGAAUAGAGAGUGAAAGUGCUGGCGAGUGGCGGACGGCUGAGUAACGCGUGGGAACGUGCCCCAAAGUGAGGAAUAAGCACCGGAAACGGUGUCUAAUGCCGCAUAUGAUCUUCGGAUUAAAGUAUUUAUACGCUUUGGGAGCGGCCCGCGUCGGAUUAGGUUGUUGGUGAGGUAAUGGCUCACCAAGCCGACGAUCCGUAGCUGGUCUGAGAGGAUGACCAGCCAGACUGGAACUGAGACACGGUCCAGACUCCUACGGGAGGCAGCAGUGAGGAAUCUUCCACAAUGGGCGAAAGCCUGAUGGAGCAACGCCGCGUGCAGGAUGAAGGCCUUCGGGUCGUAAACUGCUUUUAUUUGUGAAGAAUAUGACGGUAACAAAUGAAUAAGGAUCGGCUAACUACGUGCCAGCAGCCGCG
rnacentral:rRNA from 1 species